UACGGAGGGAGCUAGCGUUGUUCGGAAAUACUGGGCGUAAAGCGCACGUAGGCGGCGCAGCAAGUCAGGGGUGAAAUCCCGGGGCUCAACCCCGGAACUGCCCUUGAAACUGCAGUGCUAGAAUCUUGGAGAGGCGAGUGGAAUUCCGAGUGUAGAGGUGAAAUUCGUAGAUAUUCGGAAGAACACCAGUGGCGAAGGCGACUCGCUGGACAAGUAUUGACGCUGAGGUGCGAAAGCUAGGGGAGCAAACGGG
rnacentral:rRNA from 1 species